AUUGAACGCUGGCGGCAGGCUUAACACAUGCAAGUCGAGCGAGCGGCGGACGGGUGAGUAAUGUCUGGGAAACUGCCUGAUGGAGGGGGAUAACUACUGGCAACGGUAGCUAAUACCGCAUACCAUCAGAUGUGCCCAGAUGGGAUUAGCUAGUAGGUGGGGUAAUGGCUCACCUAGGCGACGAUCCCUAGCUGGUCUGAGAGGAUGACCAGACAACAUGGACCGGAGAAACGGUCCAGACCCCUACGGGAGGCAGCAUGGGGGAAUAUUGCACAAUGGGCGCAAGCCUGAUGCAGCAAUGCAGCGUGUGUGAAGAAGGCCUUCGGGUUGUAAAGCACUUUCAGCGAGGAGGCGUUACUCGCAGAAGAAGCACCGGCUAACUCCGUGCCAGCAGCCGCGGUAAUUC
rnacentral:rRNA from 1 species